rnacentral:sRNA from 1 species
GGCCUCCCAAAGUGCUGGGAUUACAAGCGUGAGCCACCGUGCCUGGCCAGGCUGUCUUGAACUCCUGACCUCAAGUGAUCUGCCCGCCUCGGCCUCCCAAAGUGUUGGGAUUACAGAUGACUUGGCAGAUGAACUUGCUCUUGUUGAUGUCAUCGAAGACAAAUUGAAGGGAGAGAUGAUGGAUCUCCAACAUGGCAGCCUUUUCCUUAGAACACCAAAGAUUGUCUCUGGCAAAGACUAUAAUGUAACUGCAAACUCCAAGCUGGUCAUUAUCACAGCUGGGGCACGUCAGCAAGAGGGAGAAAGCCGUCUUAAUUUGGUCCAGCGUAACGUGAACAUCUUUAAAUUCAUCAUUCCUAAUGUUGUAAAAUACAGCCCGAACUGCAAGUUGCUUAUUGUUUCAAAUCCAGUGGAUAUCUUGACCUACGUGGCUUGGAAGAUAAGUGGUUUUCCCAAAAACCGUGUUAUUGGAAGUGGUUGCAAUCUGGAUUCAGCCCGAUUCCGUUACCUGAUGGGGGAAAGGCUGGGAGUUCACCCAUUAAGCUGUCAUGGGUGGGUCCUUGGGGAACAUGGAGAUUCCAGUGUGCCUGUAUGGAGUGGAAUGAAUGUUGCUGGUGUCUCUCUGAAGACUCUGCACCCAGAUUUAGGGACUGAUAAAGAUAAGGAACAGUGGAA